rnacentral:rRNA from 1 species
AACGAACGCUGGCGGCAGGCCUAACACAUGCAAGUCGAGCGCGCCCUUCGGGGUGAGCGGCGGACGGGUGAGUAACGCGUGGGAACGUGCCCUUUUCUACGGAAUAGCCUCGGGAAACUGAGAGUAAUACCGUAUACGCCCUUUGGGGGAAAGAUUUAUCGGAAAAGGAUCGGCCCGCGUUGGAUUAGGUAGUUGGUGGGGUAAUGGCCUACCAAGCCGACGAUCCAUAGCUGGUUUGAGAGGAUGAUCAGCCACACUGGGACUGAGACACGGCCCAGACUCCUACGGGAGGCAGGAGUGGGGAAUCUUAGACAAUGGGGGCAACCCUGAUCUAGCCAUGCCGCGUGAGUGAUGAAGGCCCUAGGGUUGUAAAGCUCUUUCAGCUGGGAAGAUAAUGACGGUACCAGCAGAAGAAGCCCCGGCUAACUCCGUG